AUUGAACGCUGGCGGAAUGCUUUACACAUGCAAGUCGAGCGGCAGCGCGGGGCAACCUGGCGGCGAGCGGCGAACGGGUGAGUAAUGCAUCGGAACAUGUCCAUGUCGUGGGGGAUAGCCCGGCGAAAGCCGGAUUAAUACCGCAUACGCCCGAGAGGGGAAAGCCGGGGACCGCAAGGCCUGGCGCGAUUGGGUUGGCCGAUGUCCGAUUAGCUAGUUGGCGGGGUAAGAGCCCACCAAGGCGAUGAUCGGUAGCUGGUCUGAGAGGAUGAUCAGCCACACUGGGACUGAGACACGGCCCAGACUCCUACGGGAGGCAGCAGUGGGGAAUUUUGGACAAUGGGGGAAACCCUGAUCCAGCCAUUCCGCGUGAGUGAAGAAGGCCUUCGGGUUGUAAAGCUCUUUUGUCCGGAACGAAACGGUGGACGUGAAUAUCGUCCAUUACUGACGGUACCGGAAGAAUAAGCACCGGCUAACUACGUGC
rnacentral:rRNA from 1 species